rnacentral:piRNA from 1 species
AAAUGGGACAAGCAGUGGAACAGG